GGGGUUGUGGCUCAGUGGUAGAGCACUUGCCUAGCAAGAGUGAGGCACUGGGUUCGAUCCUCAGCACCA
rfam:Ictidomys tridecemlineatus contig076959, whole genome shotgun sequence.